rnacentral:rRNA from 1 species
CCUACGGGAGGCAGCAGUGGGGAAUAUUGGACAAUGGGGGGAACCCUGAUCCAGCCAUGCCGCGUGUGUGAAGAAGGCCCUCGGGUUGUAAAGCACUUUCAGUGAGGAAGAACGCCUGGUGGUUAAUACCCAUCAGGAAAGACAUCACUCACAGAAGAAGCACCGGCUAACUCCGUGCACAGCAGCCGCGGUAAUACGGAGGGUGCGAGCGUUAAUCGGAAUUACUGGGCGUAAAGCGCGCGUAGGUGGCUUGAUAAGCCGGUUGUGAAAGCCCCGGGCUCAACCUGGGAACGGCAUCCGGAACUGUCAAGCUAGAGUGCAGGAGAGGAAGGUAGAAGUCCCGGUGUAGCGGUGAAAUGCGUAGAGAUCGGGAGGAAUACCAGUGGCGAAGGCGGCCUUCUGGACUGACACUGACACUGAGGUGCGAAAGCGUGGGUAGCAAACAGGAUUAGAUACCCUGGUAGUC